GCCAGUGUGACAUAGUGGUUUGAGUGUUGGACUAGAACUCUGGAGACCAGGGUUCGAAUCCUGGCUCGGCCA
rnacentral:tRNA from 1 species